rnacentral:misc_RNA from 1 species
GCAAGACAUCUUCCUCUUCUUCAAGACGCGAAAAAUCAAUUGCACGUUGCCCUGUUACAAGUUCUAGAAGUGUAAUACCAUAUCCAAAUACAUCUGUUUUCUCAGAUGAUUUUCCAGUAGAUAAGUAUUCUGGAGCAAUGUGGCCCAUUGUUCCGCGAACUUGAGUUGUAAUAUGAGUCAGUUUUGUAUCAACUAGUUUUGCUAGUCCAAAAUCUCCAAGAACAGGUUCAAAGUUAUCAUCUAGAAGAAUGUUUGCUGCUUUUAGAUCUCUAUGAAUGAUCUUGGGAUCACAAUGCUCAUGUAGGUACUCUAGACCAUGUGCUGCUCCAAAUGCUAUCCGUCUCCUCGUUGGCCAAUCUAGAGCUUUCUCUCCAGGUUUUAAAUCUCUUAACCGAUAUGCAACACUAAGAUUCUGCAUAAAUGGAUAAACAAGAAUUCUCUCAGAAGAGGUUGUACAGAACCCAAUCAAACGUAGGAGAUUCCGAUGAACUGCAACACUAAUCAGCUGCACUUCCCUUAGAAAUGCAGCCUCUCCACCAGGAUUAUGGUAAUCAGUGAGUCUUUUCACUGCCACUUUUGU